rnacentral:lncRNA from 1 species
AGUCUGGUUGCUGGGCAACAGAGAGUGUCACUUUCUUCAUUGGUGUAUCCACUGAUAAGUUUCUCAAGCCCUAUAUAAGAGUAUUCCAUUGUGGGUACAUACCUCGUUUUCCACAUCCGUUUGUCAGUUGAUGACAGCGAUGAUGGUGAUGACGAUGACGAUGACGACAACUAUGACAAUGACUUCAUACUCAGGUUGAACUGGUUAAGAUGAUGCUAGAUUUCAUCCAGUGUGGACAAUGAAACACACAGCAGGGACUGUCAUCUGAAGAGAGGGAACAGGCAAUGGACUGGUGGGGAUAACCGGACAAGGAACACUGGUACUUGUAAAGGCAGGCUCUGAGGAUUGGAUUCAGGUCAUGAGGCUUGCCCGCAAGUGGCAUUUGCCAUCUCACCAGCCCUCCCCAAUCAAAGACAAUGUCCACACGAAGGAUGUUUUAAAUGAAGUUCACGCCGGUGGUGACAGAUUAUGCACUUAGACUAUCCGCUGAGCCGAACACAUCUCCAGCCCCCAGGAUGGAUGCCUAGCAAAUGCUUCUUGGGUGCAUGAAUACAAGAAGGUUAUUUAGUAAAGCAGACAAUGGAAAACUUAUGCCAUCGCAGGUCUAGACCCCAGAAGAAGCUUCAGGCAGCUACAUGAAAAUAAAAAUUGUCUUUGAACU